UACGGGGGGGGCAAGCGUUGUUCGGAAUUACUGGGCGUAAAGGGCUCGUAGGCGGCCAACUAAGUCAGACGUGAAAUCCCUCGGCUUAACCGGGGAACUGCAUCCGAUACUGGAUGGCUUGAAUCCGGGAGAGGGAUGCAGAAUUCCAGGUGUAGCGGUGAAAUGCGUAGAUAUCUGGAGGAAUACCGGUGGCGAAGGCGGCUCACUGGCUCAUAUCUGACGCUCAGGCGCGACAGCGUGGGGAUCAAACAGG
rnacentral:rRNA from 1 species